rnacentral:rRNA from 1 species
AUUGAACGCUGGCGGCAGGCCUAACACAUGCAAGUCGAACGAGUGGCGGACGGGUGAGUAAUGUCUGGGAAACUGCCUGAUGGAGGGGGCUAACUACUGGAAACGGUAACUAAUACCGCAUACCAUCAGAUGUGCCCAGCUGGGAUUAGCUAGUUGGUGGGGUAACGGCUCACCAAGGGGACGAGCCCUAGCUGGUCUGAGAGGAUGACCAGCCACACUGGAACUGAGAAACGGUGCAGACUCCUACGGGAGGCAGCAGGGGGGAAUAUUGCAGAAUGGGCGCAAGCCUUAUGCAGCCAUGCCGCGUGGAUGAAGAAGGCCUUCGGGUUGUAAAGUACUUUCAGCGGGGAGGCGUUACCCGCAGAAGAAGCACCGGCGAACUCCGUGCCAGCAGCCGCGGUAAUUC